ACUAAGGGUUUUGACAAAUUCCUCCACGAGACAUCUCAGAGCCAAAGUUCAAUAUCGGACUUGGAAAAAUAUUUAGAUGAGCCCGUAUUUCCUCGUAACUGUGAUUUCAGUAUCUUGAAUUGGUGGAGGGUUCACACGCCGAGAUAUCCAAUCCUGUCGACGAUGGCACGUGAUGUGCUAGGAACUCCUAUGUCAACUGUUGCACAGGAGUUCGUGUUCAAUGCCAGAGGCCGGAUGCUUGAUAGCGUGUCACUGACUCCUGAUACUCAACGGCUUUGAUAUGCCACGAGAUUGGUUACGGACACAAUCUGAUGAUGCAACGCCAGUGCCGGGCCAUUACGCUCUACCCCUUCACGUUGAAGCAAAUUGAUCCAGCCUUGCCUGCUUGGUACAGGGAUCUUUUCUUAAGCUAAUAAGAUUGCAUCUGAUUGCAUUGAAGCACUUGAACUUUGAAUGUUGAUCAGAUUCUAUUUGAUAAUGGUGUUUCAAUGUGGCU